ensembl:processed_transcript
UGAUAAAUGGUACAUUUUACCAACACAAAUAAAGUUUAAUUGCUAAAUAUACAGAUGAGUAGCAUAACAUUUUGCAUUAGUGAAGGAAGAGCCAUUACCAAACUCUGCAUUUCCUCUUCAGGGGCUGAAGUUGAUGAGUGGUUACAACAUUUGGGCAACUACCUAAGCAUGAUACAGAACAAUCAACGUCACCAUUGUGGUGAAAGUGAACUGAUUGCAUCCCACUCUGCCUUUCAGCUACAAAGGUGUCCUGGAGGCCCACAGAUGCAUCAAGUCCAAGUGCUUGAAGGAAGAUCGACUCGUUUAACUCGACAACUAUGAAAGCCAUCCAAGGAAUGAUAUGAGCUCUUGGAGGAGGAGGGCUGAUCGUCGGGGAAUUUCUAGUAAAUUGAGAGCUCACAGACACAAACAGGACCUUAUUGGGCGGAUCAGGGAUGUCACAUCCCUGAGGGAAAGGAACAUCAACUUCCACAUCUCGCUUCUCUCUCUCUCUCUCACUCCAAACUCACAUAAACACUCACACACAUGGAAAUAACACCCAUUACUCCUCAUUCAUCACUCAAACACUUACACCAUGAAUACCACCUCAUCUGCUCAUUUUAGCGAUUAUAUAUCUCUCUCUGCUAUAGUCUUAUGGUCUAUCACUUUAAACACUCUUUAAAGCAGAUUGGAUUCUAUUUGACUAUCAAUCUUUUUAGCGUUCAUCUGCCGAAAUAAAGUGAUUCUACU